UGUGACACCAGCAAAGGAAGACGCGCAGGGUUUGCCGUUUAGGAUAAUCUUCGAGGCACGCGCACAGCUGGCUUUCAUCCAAGUAAUGUCUCUGUUGGAGAUGGCAGCAGUUAUAGUAACUGAAGUAGCACCACCACCACCACCACAACACCCGCUACCACCAUCAUCGUACUAGUAUCGCUACCGUCAUCAGUAAUAGCAGUAGCAGCAUCACCACCACCUCCGCCGUUAGCGAAGACGGGUUCUAUAGCUGAUAUAUAGGCUCGCGGCGCUUUUCGCGGUCCUUGUGCCAAAGAGGGCAAGAAGGGUCAUCUUAAGCGGCGUUUAAUCGAUAGACGAGACGCGAGGAACGUCGAUCGCAGCGCUCGCCUGUGAAACAAGUGGCAGAGGAGCAGGCACCAGUCGAGCGUCGUCGUCGUCCUCCUCUUCGUCGUCGUCGCUACAUUAGACUGUCCUCUCUCCAAGGAUCCGAACAAGAAGAAAGAGAACGA
rnacentral:lncRNA from 1 species